rnacentral:rRNA from 1 species
UAUCUCUGUAGAGUCUGCAUAUCAAUAAGCGGAGGAAAAGAAACUAACAAGGAUUCCCUUAGUAACGGCGAGUGAAGCGGGAAGAGCUCAAAUUUGAAAUCUUCAAGGUUUUACCUUGACGAAUUGUAGUUUAAAGAAGUGUUUUCUGUUGAAGUUUUGGUAAAAGUUCUUUGGAAUAGGACAUCAUAGAGGGUGAGAAUCCCGUAUUUGACCAUUAUUUUCAGCUGUGUGAUACACUUUCGAAGAGUCGGAUUGUUUGGGAAUGCAGUCCAAAAUGGGUGGUAAAUUUCAUCUAAAGCUAAAUAUUGGCGAGAGACCGAUAGCGAACAAGUACCGUGAGGGAAAGAUGAAAAGAACUUUGAAAAGAGAGUUAAACAGUACGUGAAAUUGUCAAAAGGGAAGCGUUUGACACCAGUGUUGUUUUCUCGAAAAUCAAUUAAAAAAGGCCGGAUUUUGUGUUGUAUUGACCUUAAAAGCUUUCUUCACUCUUUUCUUGUCUUUUUUAAUGCACUUUUCGUUUAACAAGUCAACAUCAGUUUCUUUUGUUGUAAAAGGGUCAUUGGAAGGUGGCUUUCUUUUCGGAGAAAGUGUUUAUAGCCUUUGCUCUCUGCAAUCGGAGAGAUUGAGGUCUGCAGCGUAGACUCCUUCGGGGUUAGAUACAUUUGUGCUAAGUUAUAGCCUUUUCAUAGACAACUUGUUGACUAUGAUUCAGUCAUGUAGGCUUACUCGCUUAUGCUAUUUUACCUACGCUUAGGAUGUUGAUGUGAUACUGCGAGCA